AAUUAUGAAUACAAUUCCAAUAUUGAUGCAUUUAUUGAGAAAGUCUCCGCUGUCCAAGAAGAGACUAAUAUUUUGCAGGAAGCUAUGGAAAAAAAAAUUGAUGAAACUGUGAGCUCAUUGGAUGAAAAAGAUUAUGAAGAGAGCGAAGAACAAAAGGAGGAAGAGCGGAUUAGCUACCCGUGCCCACCUUUUAAUGAGAGUAACUCUCACUACAACAAAACAGAUGUUAAGUAACACAAUGUCGUAACAAAUCACAAGAUGUCUUACAAGUAAAAAGGUAGUAACAUAUCAUUUGUGUUGCGAGCAUACUCAGACAGAUCUGAAAAGGUGUUACAAGUAUAGUACACCAGUAACAUAUAGGUUUAUGUUACUGUUGUGUUACGCUAUGUGAUUAUAGUAACUCAUAAUUGUAUGUAAGCUAGUGUUACAAAUUCUUAAGGAAAAAGCAUAGAAUUUGAUGAAGUGCAUUAGUAAAUCUUCAUCAUCAUAACACACAGCCCCGCUUGUCAGCAUUAAAUUAUUUAUUUAUAUUUUUUUGUGUAUUCAUCAACUCGGACCCAUAUAGGACCAACAUGACAGGUAAUAAUUCGAAGGGCAGAAAAAAUGCGGGCAAUAGGCACUACUAGGAAAAUGCCUACUAGUGGCGCACCAGUUUUGCCUACUAAUGACGCACUACUGGUGCGCCACUAGUACCACGCCACUAGUAUUAUAUACUAAUUGCGCACCACAUACCAGAUACUAAUGGCGCACCAUGUAGUGCGCCAUUAGUAUACCAUUUGGUGCUCCACUGGUAUUCCCUCCAGAUGCUCCAUUAAUAGCCUUAUAGGUGCGCCACUAGUAAUAAAGGAAGGUGCGCCACUAGUAAGGGCUUAAAUGCGCCACUAGUAAUGUAUUUGGAAAAAAAUCCAAAUUUACAGAAAACAACCUAUAAGGAAAAAUAUUUCAAAAACAAAAAAUAAAAUAGAAUCAUAAUUUUUAUUAUAGUAAUAAUAUUACAAUGUCUUUACAAGUAUCCAAUAAAAGGAAAAUUGCAAGGAAAUAAAAGAAGGCGGAGUAUCCAGUGAAAAUCACUAAUCAGUGAAAAUCUGGAAACUUGUGACCUUGGGCGUUGGAUCACUGGCGGAUGGUACAGAUGAAAGCCCAUGAACGAUUCGUCUUCGAUCUGGCCUUAUCCAUGGUCGUUCCCCACCGGCCACCGCACGGCCACCCCGCAUGGCGCUGCUGCCGUCCCCCAUCGCGACGACUGAAGGCGGAGUCGUCCCCCAUGGCUCUGCCGCCGUGUGGAUGCCAUCGAGGCGUCCAGCGCGGACACAACCCACAUCGGCGAAGUUUGAGAUGAGGUGGCGAGAGCCGGCGGCGCGCUGAUGAAGGCGUCCACUGCAUCGAAGCUCGCCUCAGCGGGGAGGGCUUCCGCAAGGCAUGGUGCCCAGGCUGCCCACGACGUUCGGUCUAGCCAGCAGGACUGCGUGGGCGGCGACGCGUGCACCGGCGACGCCGGCCGCGAAAUGGGCUGUUGAUCCUUCAAAGUUUGAUUCUAGCAUGCCUCCUUCUACCUGAUUUAUCCAAUUUUAUGUGCGAGUUUGUCAUGGAGAGACAAAAUUUCUGAAUGCAAUUUUGAUGUUGUGAAGUGUUAUCACUGAACGUGAGAGCAUUGUUGAUUCUCUUUAUUUAGACUGGGUGGUUCUCCAUUGCUGUAUUCUGGGAAUUUGUAGAUGACAAAAAAUUCUGAAUAUUAGCUUCUGAAUGCUAUGUAUUGUUGAGCUCCAUUGAGUUUGUUGGAUGAAAAUCUACACAGAAUUCAGUGCAAGGGUGGUCUGUUCACGUACUUAUGUGGUGAUCCUCAGCGCUGGAAGAAGCUUUGAUCAGAAGAAACAUUCUUAGUGGUUCUAUCUAAAGUGUAUGCAUCUUUUUUUUUUGAAA